GACUGUUAUGAUUCUUUAUAACCAGGAUGUCCAAUUAAUGCUUUGAAUUCAUUUUACAUAAAUUUAUGUUUCAUUUUUUUUCCCCUUGUACAUGGCUGCAUGUAAUGUGCUACUUUCACCAGUAAGUGGAGGUAAUAGACCUAGUAGAUCUUUGGAGGCUCCAAAACUCUAAUAUUAAUGGAGUUUGAAGUUUGUUCCACAACUGCAUUUCACUCACUGCCUCUGUUUGUAUCUCUGUCACUGCAGGACCAACAUGGAGCGAGAAGUCAGCGCUCUCAGGAGGCUGACAAACCUCACAGAAGGAAGGGAGGAAAAAAAUACACCUGUGAUCAGUGUGGGAAGGAUUUUACUAGGAAGGGUUCAUUAAAAAGUCAUCAAGUGAUCCACACUGGAGAGAAGCCAGUCAGCUGUGACUUGUGUGGAAAGUCUUUUACCCAGGCUGGACACUUAAAAACACACCAACUCAUCCACAGUGGAGAGAAGCCGUACAGCUGUGAUCAGUGUGGCAGAGCUUUCACUCAGAGUGGCAACUUAAAAAGUCAUCAAGUUACCCACUCUGGAAUUAAGGCAUACAGCUGUGACUAUUGUGGAAAGAUUUUCACCCUGCUAAGAAACAGAAAUACACACCUACGCAUUCACACUGGACAUGAUGUGUACUGCUGUAAUCAGUGUGGCAAAAAGUUUGGAUCAGACCAACAUUUACAAUCCCACAUGUUUAUCCACACUGAGGAGAGACCUCAUAAAUGUGACCUGUGUGAUAAGACUUUUAAAGCUCCACGUUACCUGAAAGCACACCAACAGAUCCACAGCAGAGAGAGACUCUACAAGUGCAGUUACUGUGAGUUCGAGUCCUGACAAUGCUUGCUGCAUGAGGUGGCAGCUCAUCAGGCCCUGUGGCUUCUACCAGAUCAUCAAUACAGGGCUGGUCACAAAAGGGCUGGUCACUGAGACUUGGGGUUGGGCCUUUGACAGCGUCUCGGUCGUUCUUCAUGAGACUCCUAACACUACCUAUUCCUACUCUGUGACCCUCUUCAAAGCCCUCAACCUCAUUGGAGGCUUCAAGGUCAGAAUCAGAAUGGGACUCAAUGGCUGGGUCACAGGCCACCUGACAGGACGGUGGAUGGGAAAUGGGUUCUCCUGAAGACACUAUACUACCUCGGCUGUAUGAUCCACCCCAUCACACUCUGAAUCCGCAACGGAAAGGUCCUGCUUGACACUGGGUACACUACUUGGAUCAGGGCUAGUAUCAAAAGAGGACACAGACACUUGUUCUUGGUCCAACUCGAGCGGCAGGAAGUUCGCUGGCAGGAGCAGGUUUUGGUGGACGACUCUCUCCUGUCCAUUGGUCGUGUUUCUGAUGCGAAGCAGAGCCACACAGAUGGAUCCAGUUCUCAGCCCUGUCAUCGCUGUGGUG